rnacentral:tRNA from 1 species
GGAGAGGCAGAGUGUUUUAAUGCACCCGACUUAUAAUCGGGCGGUGUUCUCACCGGGCACCCGCGGGUUAGAAUCCCGCCCUCUCCG